rnacentral:rRNA from 1 species
AGGGUUUGACUCCGGAGAGGCAGCCUGAGAGACGGCUACCAGUUCUAAGGAACGCAGCAGGCGCGCAAAUUACACAGUGACAGUAAACUGUUGAUGUAGUGACAAGAGGUAACGGGGCGGUCCUCUAUGAGGCCCGUCAUUGUAUUGAGUAAAACUCAAAAUAUUUAACGAAACCAAUUGGAGGGCAAGUCUGGUGCCAGCAGCCGCGGUAAUUCCAGCUCCAAAAGCAUAUAUUAAAGUUGUUGCGGUUAAAAAGCUCGUAGUUGGAUCCAUGACCUCGGAGGGCGGUCCCCCACUGGGUGCGUACUGCUGCUCCGAGUCCUAUCUGUCAGUUUGUCUGUGUUGCCUUUAAUCGGGUGGCACAGGUGACUGACGUGUUUACUUUGAAAAAAUUAGAGUGUUUAAAGCAGGCGUUGAAUGCCUGAAUAGUGGUGCAUGGAAUAAUGGAAUAGGAUCUCGGUUCUAUUUUGUUGGUUCAAGAGCAUGAGAAAAUGAUUAAGAGGGACAGACGGGGGCAUUUGUAUUGCUGCGUUAGAGGUGAAAUUCUUGGAUCGUAGCAAGACAAACUACUGCGAAGGCAUUUGCCAAGAAUGUUUUCAUUAAUCAAGAACGAAAGUUAGAGGUUCGAAGGCGAUCAGAUACCGCCCUAGUUCUAACCGUAAACCAUGUCGACUAGCUAUCUGUCAGCGUUAAUAAUGACCUGACAGGCAGCUUACCGGAAACGAAAGUUUCUCGAUUCCGGGGGUAGUAUGGUUGCAAAGCUGAAACUUAAAGGAAUUGACGGAAGGGCACCACCAGGAGUGGAGCCUGCGGCUUAAUUUGACCCAACACGGGAAAACUCACCCGGCCCGGACACCGUAAGGAUUGACAGAUUAAUAGCUCUUUCUCGAUUUGGUGAUUGGUGGUGCAUGGCCGUUCUUAGUUGGUGGAGCGAUUUGUCUGGUUAAUUCCGAUAACGAACGAGAUUCUAACUUACUAACUAGUUCCACGAUCCUUGUGGUCCUAAAUACUUCUUAGAGGGAAAACCGGCAUUUAGUCGAACGAGAUUGAGCGAUAACAGGUCUGUGAUGCCCUUAGAUGUCCGGGGCUGCACGCGUGCUACACUGAAGGAAUCAGCGUGUUUUUCCCUUGCCUGUAAUGGCUGGGUAACCGACUGAAUCUCCUUCGUGCUAGGGAUAGAUCAUUGAAACUAGUGAUCUUCAACUUGGAAUUCCUGGUACGUUUGAGUCAUAAGCUCAAGCAGAUUACGUCCCUGCCCUUUGUACACACCGCCCGUCGCUACUACCGACUGGCAAUAUCUUUGAGACACUUGGAGCGGCCGUGAGCUACCCUAACCGGUAACUCACGGCUGCGAAAAGGUUCGAAAAGGUUUUGCUGGAGGAAGUAAAAGUCGUAACAAGGUU